rnacentral:rRNA from 1 species
GCAUAUCAAUAAGCGGAGGAAAAAGAAACCAACAGGGAUUGCCCUAGUAACGGCGAGUGAAGCGGCAUCAGCUCAAAUUUGAAAUCUGGCUCUUUCAGAGUCCGAGUUGUAAUUUGCAGAGGGCGCUUUGGUGUCGGCAGCGGUCCAAGUUCCUUGGAACAGGACGUCACAGAGGGUGAGAAUCCCGUACGUGGUCGCUGACCUACACCGUGUAAAGCCCCUUCGACGAGUCGAGUUGUUUGGGAAUGCAGCUCUAAAUGGGAGGUAAAUUUCUUCUAAAGCUAAAUACUGGCCAGAGACCGAUAGCGCACAAGUAGAGUGAUCGAAAGAUGAAAAGCACUUUGGAAAGAGAGUCAAACAGCACGUGAAAUUGUUGAAAGGGAAGCGCUUGCAGCCAGACUUGCUUGUAGUUGCUCAUCCGGGCUUUUGCCCGGUGCACUCUUCUGCGAGCAGGCCAGCAUCAGUUUGGACGGUUGGAUAAAGGCCUCUGUCACGUACCUUCUCUCGGGAAGGCCUUAUAGGGGAGGCGUCAUGCAACCAGUCUGGACUGAGGUCCGCGCAUCUGCUAGGAUGCUGGCGUAAUGGCUGUAAGCGGCCCGUCUUGAAACACGGACCAAGGAGUCUAACAUCUAUGCGAGUGUUUGGGUGUCAAGCCCGAGCGCGUAAUGAAAGUGAACGGAGGUGGGAUCCCGCAAGGGUGCACCAUCGACCGAUCCUGAUGUCUUCGGAUGGAUUUGAGUAAGAGCAUGGCUGUUGGGACCCGAAAGAUGGUGAACUAUGCUUGAAUAGGGUGAAGCCAGAGGAAACUCUGGUGGAGGCUCGCAGCGGUUCUGACGUGCAAAUCGAUCGUCAAAUUUGGGCAUAGGGGCGAAAGACUAAUCGAACUAUCUAGUAGCUGGGUGUGACGAG